rnacentral:rRNA from 1 species
UACGUGGGGGGCGAGCGUUGUCCGGAAUCAUUGGGCGUAAAGCGCGUGUAGGCGGCCCGGUAAGUCCGCUGUGAAAGUCCAGGGCUCAACCCUGGGAUGCUGGUGGAUACUGUCGGGCUCGAGUCCGGAAGAGGCGAGUGGAAUUCCUGGUGUAGCGGUGAAAUGCGCAGAUAUCAGGAGGAACACCAAUGGCGAAGGCAGCUCGCUGGGACGUGACUGACGCUGAGACGCGAAAGCGUGGGGAGCAAACAGG